UNCUUNUAGUAUCCUGCUCAUGAACAUUUUCAUAGCCGCGGAAAUUUAACCGUGCUAAGGUAGCAUAAUCAUUAGCCUCUUAAUUAGAGGCUCGUAUGAAUGGUAAAACAUUUCAAUUUCUAUAACAAUUAUUAAAUUUUAAUUUUAAUUAAGAAUUAAAAUGUUCUUAUAUAUUAAAUAGACGACAAGACCCUUUUGAACUUAACUUUAGUUAAGCUGGGGCAGCUAAUAAAUAAUUAUCUUCAUUUUCUUAAUUUAAUAAACGACCCAAUAAAAUUGAUUUUUUGAACAAGUUACCAUAGGGAUAACAGCGUAAUAUUUUUCUAAAGUUCGUAUUUAAAAAAAUGAUUGCGACCUCGAUGUUGAAUUAAUGUAACUUUAUAAAUGCAAUAAUUUUAAAAGUAGGUCUGUUCGACCUUUAAAUCAUUACAUGAUCUGAGCAAAACCCCGGAGA
rnacentral:rRNA from 1 species